rnacentral:rRNA from 1 species
AACUUUCAGCAGUGGACGUCUUGGCUCACGUAUCGAUGAAGGACGCAGCUAAAUGCGCUAAGCAUUGUGAACUGCAGCUUUUAGUGAAUCAUCAGAUUUCUGAACGCAUAUGGCGCUGUUGGUAUUCCCCGGCAGCACGUCUGUUUCAGUGUCU